UAGCACCGUGGCGCAGUGGAAGCGUGCUGGGCCCAUAACCCAGAGGUCGAUGGAUCGAAACCAUC
rnacentral:tRNA from 1 species